UACUGCUAUCAGUGUUCGAUUAAGCCAUGCGAGUUAAAUGUUCUUCGUGAACAUGGCGUACUGCUCAGUAACACGUGGAUAACCUGCCCUAAGGUCCGGCAUAACCCCGGGAAACUGGGGAUAAUACCGGAUAAACCAUAGAUACUGGAAUGUUCUGUGGUUCAAAGUUCCGGCGCCUUAGGAUGGAUCUGCGGCCUAUCAGGUAGUAGUGGGUGUAAAGUACCUACUAGCCGACGACGGGUACGGGUUGUGAGAGCAAGAGCCCGGAGAUGGAUUCUGAGACAUGAAUCCAGGCCCUACGGGGCGCAGCAGGCGCGAAAUCUUUACAAUGCGGGAAACCGCGAUAAGGGGACACUGAGUGCCAGCAUAUUAUGUUGGCUGUCCACCUGUAUAAAUCACAGGUGUUAGCAAGGGCCGGGCAAGACCGGUGCCAGCCGCCGCGGUAACACCGGCGGCCCGAGUGGUAGCCACUAUUAUUGGGUCUAAAGGGUCCGUAGCCGGUUUGAUCAGUCUUCCGGGAAAUCUGACAGCUCAACUGUUAGGCUUCCGGGAGAUACUGUCAGGCUUGGGACCGGGAGAGGUAAGAGGUACUAC
rnacentral:rRNA from 1 species